rnacentral:rRNA from 1 species
GUGGGGAAUUUUGGACAAUGGGCGCAAGCCUGAUCCAGCAAUGCCGCGUGUGUGAAGAAGGCCUUCGGGUUGUAAAGCACUUUUGGCAGGAAAGAAAUAGCGCGUGCUAAUACCAUGCGCGAAUGACGGUACCUGCAGAAUAAGCACCGGCUAACUACGUGCCAGCAGCCGCGGUAAGACGUAGGGUGCAAGCGUUAAUCGGAAUUACUGGGCGUAAAGCGUGCGCAGGCGGUUUUGUAAGACAGGUGUGAAAUCCCCGGGCUCAACCUGGGAACUGCACUUGUGACUGCAAGGCUAGAGUGUGUCAGAGGGAGGUGGAAUUCCGCGUGUAGCAGUGAAAUGCGUAGAGAUGCGGAGGAACACCGAUGGCGAAGGCAGCCUCCUGGGAUAACACUGACGCUCAGGCACGAAAGCGUGGGGAGCAAACAGGAUUAGAAACCCUUGUAGUCC